GAGGGUAUUGCUCAGUGGUAGAGCAUGUGCCUAGUAAGCAUGAGGUCCUAUCCUCG
rnacentral:tRNA from 1 species